rnacentral:rRNA from 1 species
GUCAAGUAAGAAUACCCGCUGAACUUAAGCAUAUCAAUAAGCGGAGGAAAAGAAACUAACUAGGAUUCCCUUAGUAACGGUGAGUGAACCGGGAAGAGCUCAAAUUUUAAAUCACCUUGGUGAAUUGUAAUUUGAAGAAAGUGUUUUGACUUUUCAGUUUAAUCCAAAUCCUUUGGGAUGAGGUAUCACAGAGGGUGAGAAUCCCGUUCGUGAUUAGACCUCGGAAUGCAUUAAUUCACUUUCUAAGAGUCGAGUUGUUUGGGAUUGCAGCUCAAAAUGGGUGGUAAAUUUCACCUAAGGCUAAAUAUAUGCGAGAGACCGAUAGCGAACAAGUACCGUGAGGGAAAGAUGAAAAGAACUUUGAAAAGAGAGUUAAACAGUACGUGAAAUUGUUGAAAGGGAAACGAUUGAAGUCAGUCAUGCUAGUGAGAAAUCAGCUUGUGUGGUGCGAGUUUUUUCUCAAUCUUCCUUGUGUACUUUCUUGCUCGGCAGGUUAGCAUCAAUUUUGGUUGUCAUCAAAUAGUUGGGGGAAUGUGGCUUCUCUUCGGUGAAGUGUUAUAGACCCUGAUAGAUGUGUCGACUGGGAUUGAGGAUUGCAGCGGAUGCCUUUGGCUAGUCACCUAUCUUCUGGCGGUCACCUCGCUUUUGACAGCUUGCUGAUGAUUGCGGGAUUUGGUGGCCUAGAAGUUAGAAUGUACAUAAAUUCGCUAAGGAUGCUGACGUAAUGGCUUUAAACGACCCGUCUUGAAACACGGACCAAGGAGUCUAACAUAUGUGCGAGUGUU